rnacentral:tRNA from 1 species
CAGGGAGACAACAAAAUGUUUAAUAUUAUUAUUUUGUCACCUUAGGUCGAUCGGUAUCUCACAUUCUUAAUUUAUUAAGGAUUUCAUUUCCUAAGUUUUUCUAGGUCACACCCAUUAUUUUUCCUGGGCCAUUAGCUCAGGUGGUUAGAGCGCACCCCUGAUAAGGGUGAGGUCCCUGGUUCAAGUCCAGGAUGGCCCAUAUCUCUAUGUUGGGGGUAUAGCUCAGUUGGUAGAGCGCCUGCUUUGCAAGCAGGAUGUCAGCGGUUCGAGUCCGCUUACCUCCACUGAUUACCACCUCUUCCAUAACAGGUAGAAAGGGAAUGUUUUGAGUUGUGAUCAUUAUUCUGAACGAAUCUAGCUUCCUAAUGAAAUCAUUAAGAUGCUGGACUCAUUGAAUUAAUUUCAUUGUUUUCAGAGAACCUUGACAACUGCAUAGAUUUUUUUAAAGACAAUAAGCAUCUUUAAUGAUGCAGAUUUAUUAUUUGUGCGAAUGCAUUAAUAACAAUUCUAUUAAGCUGAUGCUUCAAUUUUUGAAGUUAUU